rnacentral:sRNA from 1 species
AAAUGUGAAGGCGAUCUGGCUGCAGCAUCUGUCACCCCCUCUGAUUGCCAGGGCUCAUUCGGCUGCUCUGGCUUACGGGGCAGGCAUCCCCUUUCUCCCUUACUGUUCCUUGUGUGUCCCUUCCAACACUAUGCUAGGUCAAAGAGGACAUCCUUCCCUAAACAGAGAUGGACUGCUCCUCGGUAAAGGGUAUAUGAGUAGCUGUACUCCCCUGUUAGCUACUAAAAGAAAAGGAAAAUAUGCCCACCGGAGCAGUGAUUUGUUGUGUUUGCGU